rnacentral:rRNA from 1 species
AGAGUUUGAUCCUGGCUCAGGAUGAACGCUGACAGAAUGCUUAACACAUGCAAGUCAUUGGCGAAGCUGCGCUUGCGCAGUCUAGCCAAGGCGGACGGGUGAGUAACGCGUAAGGAACUUGCCCUGCAGACAGGGAUAACAGACGGAAACGACUGAUAACACCUGGUAUUGUCAGGCUGGCGCAUGCCGGCCUGAUGAAAGGAGACGCUGCAGGAGAGCCUUGCGUCCUAUUAGCUAGUUGGUGGGGUAACGGCCCACCAAGGCGAUGAUAGGUAGCCGGCCUGAGAGGGUGGACGGCCACAAGGGGACUGAGAUACGGCCCUUACUCCUACGGGAGGCAGCAGUGGGGAAUAUUGGACAAUGGGGGCAACCCUGAUCCAGCAAUUCUGUGUGCACGAAGAAGGUUUUCGGAUUGUAAAGUGCUUUCAGCAGGGAAGAAGAAAGUGACGGUACCUGCAGAAGAAGCGACGGCUAAAUACGUGCCAGCAGCCGCGGUAAUACGUAUGUCGCGAGCGUUAUCCGGAAUUAUUGGGCAUAAAGGGCAUCUAGGCGGCCGGAUAAGUCUGGGGUGAAAACUUGCGGCUCAACCGCAAGCCUGCCCUGGAAACUAUGCGGCUAGAGUACUGGAGAGGUGGACGGAACUGCACGAGUAGAGGUGAAAUUCGUAGAUAUGUGCAGGAAUGCCGAUGAUGAAGAUAGUUCACUGGACGGUAACUGACGCUGAAGUGCGAAAGCUAGGGGAGCAAACAGGAUUAGAUACCCUGGUAGUCCUAGCUGUAAACGAUGAUUACUGGGUGUGGGCAUGAAGAGUGUCCGUGCCGAAGCAAAUGCGAUAAGUAAUCCGCCUGGGGAGUACGGCCGCAAGGCUGAAACUCAAAGGAAUUGACGGGGACCCGCACAAGCGGUGGA